GGGUUGUGAGGUUAAGCGACUAAGCGUACACGGUGGAUGCCCUGGCAGUCAGAGGCGAUGAAGGGCGUGCUAAUCUGCGAUAAGCGCCGGUAAGGUGAUAUGAACCGUUAUAACCGGCGAUACCCGAAUGGGGAAACCCAGUGUGAUUCGUCACACUAUCAUUAACUGAAUCCAUAGGUUAAUGAGGCGAACCGGGGGAACUGAAACAUCUAAGUACCCCGAGGAAAAGAAAUCAACCGAGAUUCCCCCAGUAGCGGCGAGCGAACGGGGAGGAGCCCAGAGCCUGAAUCAGCAUGUGUGUUAGUGGAAGCGUCUGGAAAGGCGCGCGAUACAGGGUGACAGCCCCGUACACAAAAGCGCAUGUGCUGUGAGCUCGAUGAGUAGGGCGGGACACGUGGUAUCCUGUCUGAAUAUGGGGGGACCAUCCUCCAAGGCUAAAUACUCCUGACUGACCGAUAGUGAACCAGUACCGUGAGGGAAAGGCGAAAAGAACCCCGGCGAGGGGAGUGAAAAAGAACCUGAAACCGUGUACGUACAAGCAGUGGGAGCACCCUUCGGGGUGUGACUGCGUACCUUUUGUAUAAUGGGUCAGCGACUUAUAUUCUGUAGCAAGGUUAACCGUAUAGGGGAGCCGGAGGGAAACCGAGUCUUAACCGGGCGUUAAGUUGCAGGGUAUAGACCCGAAACCCGGUGAUCUAGCCAUGGGCAGGUUGAAGGUUGGGUAACACUAACUGGAGGACCGAACCGACUAAUGUUGAAAAAUUAGCGGAUGACCUGUGGCUGGGGGUGAAAGGCCAAUCAAACCGGGAGAUAGCUGGUUCUCCCCGAAAGCUAUUUAGGUAGCGCCUCGUGAAUUCAUCUCCGGGGGUAGAGCACUGUUUCGGCUAGGGGGCCAUCCCGGCUUACCAACCCGAUGCAAACUGCGAAUACCGGAGAAUGUUAUCACGGGAGACACACGGCGGGUGCUAACGUCCGUCGUGAAGAGGGAAACAACCCAGACCGCCAGCUAAGGUCCCAAAGUCAUGGUUAAGUGGGAAACGAUGUGGGAAGGCCCAGACAGCCGGGAUGUUGGCUUAGAAGCAGCCAUCAUUUAAAGAAAGCGUAAUAGCUCACUGGUCGAGUCGGCCUGCGCGGAAGAUGUAACGGGGCUAAACCAUGCACCGAAGCUGCGGCAGCGACACUGUGUGUUGUUGGGUAGGGGAGCGUUCUGUAAGCCUGUGAAGGUGGCCUGUGAGGGUUGCUGGAGGUAUCAGAAGUGCGAAUGCUGACAUAAGUAACGAUAAAGCGGGUGAAAAGCCCGCUCGCCGGAAGACCAAGGGUUCCUGUCCAACGUUAAUCGGGGCAGGGUGAGUCGACCCCUAAGGCGAGGCCGAAAGGCGUAGUCGAUGGGAAACGGGUUAAUAUUCCCGUACUUGGUGUUACUGCGAAGGGGGGACGGAGAAGGCUAUGUUGGCCGGGCGACGGUUGUCCCGGUUUAAGCGUGUAGGUGUGUGUUCGGGUAAAUCCGGUUCACUUUAACACUGAGGCGUGAUGACGAGGCACUACGGUGCUGAAGCAACAAAUGCCCUGCUUCCAGGAAAAGCCUCUAAGCAUCAGGUAACACGAAAUCGUACCCCAAACCGACACAGGUGGUCAGGUAGAGAAUACCAAGGCGCUUGAGAGAACUCGGGUGAAGGAACUAGGCAAAAUGGUGCCGUAACUUCGGGAGAAGGCACGCUGACACGUAGGUGAAGUGAUUUACUCAUGGAGCUGAAGUCAGUCGAAGAUACCAGCUGGCUGCAACUGUUUAUUAAAAACACAGCACUGUGCAAACACGAAAGUGGACGUAUACGGUGUGACGCCUGCCCGGUGCCGGAAGGUUAAUUGAUGGGGUCAGCGCAAGCGAAGCUCCUGAUCGAAGCCCCGGUAAACGGCGGCCGUAACUAUAACGGUCCUAAGGUAGCGAAAUUCCUUGUCGGGUAAGUUCCGACCUGCACGAAUGGCGUAAUGAUGGCCGGGCUGUCUCCACCCGAGACUCAGUGAAAUUGAACUCGCUGUGAAGAUGCAGUGUACCCGCGGCAAGACGGAAAGACCCCGUGAACCUUUACUAUAGCUUGACACUGAACAUUGAGCCUUGAUGUGUAGGAUAGGUGGGAGGCUUUGAAGCGUGGACGCCAGUCUGCGUGGAGCCAACCUUGAAAUACCACCCUUUAAUGUUUGAUGUUCUAACGUGGACCCGUAAUCCGGGUUGCGGACAGUGUCUGGUGGGUAGUUUGACUGGGGCGGUCUCCUCCUAAAGAGUAACGGAGGAGCACGAAGGUUGGCUAAUCCUGGUCGGACAUCAGGAGGUUAGUGCAAUGGCAUAAGCCAGCUUGACUGCGAGCGUGACGGCGCGAGCAGGUGCGAAAGCAGGUCAUAGUGAUCCGGUGGUUCUGAAUGGAAGGGCCAUCGCUCAACGGAUAAAAGGUACUCCGGGGAUAACAGGCUGAUACCGCCCAAGAGUUCAUAUCGACGGCGGUGUUUGGCACCUCGAUGUCGGCUCAUCACAUCCUGGGGCUGAAGUAGGUCCCAAGGGUAUGGCUGUUCGCCAUUUAAAGUGGUACGCGAGCUGGGUUUAGAACGUCGUGAGACAGUUCGGUCCCUAUCUGCCGUGGGCGCUGGAGAACUGAGGGGGGCUGCUCCUAGUACGAGAGGACCGGAGUGGACGCAUCACUGGUGUUCGGGUUGUCAUGCCAAUGGCACUGCCCGGUAGCUAAAUGCGGAAGAGAUAAGUGCUGAAAGCAUCUAAGCACGAAACUUGCCCCGAGAUGAGUUCUCCCUGAGACUUAGAGUCUCCUGAAGGAACGUUGAAGACGACGACGUUGAUAGGCCGGGUGUGUAAGCGCAGCGAUGCGUUGAGCUAACCGGUACUAAUGAACCGUGAGGCUUAACCUUACAACGCCGAAG
rnacentral:rRNA from 1 species